CCUCACAUUUCCCACCCCUCAACCCUUUUAUCUGCUGGGUCGCUCUUUGCUUCCUCCACAAACGCCACCAUCUCUUUCUUGAGGGGUCGUUGUUGUCCCCCCACUCUUUUUUGGGGUGUCUUUGAUGUUCCAAAUCAGUUUUUUUAUCUUUUUUUUGUUUUCCAGCUCUUUUUCUCCCCUCAUGUUUCCCCCCCUUUUCCCCUCACGUUUCCCGCUCUUUUCUCCCCUCACGUUUCCCGCUCUUUUCCCCUCACAUUUUCUACUCUUUUCACCUCACAUUUCCACCCUUUUCCCUUCAUGUUUCUCACUCUUUUCUCCUCUCACAAUUCCCGUUUCUCCUCACCUUUUCCGCCUUUUCUCCCCUCACGUUUCCCGCUCUUUUCUCCCCUCACGUUUCCCGCUCUUUUCUCCCCUCACAUUUCCCACUCCUCCACCCUCAGCGCCACCAUCUCUUUCUUGAAGGGUUCCUCCUGUCCCCCCACUCUUUUUGGGGUGUCUUUGAUGUCCCCAGAUCUCUUUUUUGGGGUGUCUUUGCUGCACCCCCAGACCCCAAAUUUUCCUUUCCUCACAGCUGGGGGGCUCGGCCCCUGUUCCUGGGGCUCCCCCAUUCCUGCCCAAGCAGCCGGGGACCCUCCCCGUCACCUCGGGGGUUCAGCCGCAGGUGAGCCCAGGCCUGGCUCAGGUCGGGAUCAUGGAGGAGCAGCAGCGGCAGCAGAGCCUGUUACAGCUCCGAGCCCAACAACAGCAACAAGCACAACCCCCCCCUGCUCCCC